CGGCAACAGCUCAAAUUUGAAAUCUGGCCCCCGGCCCGAGUUGUAAUUUGCAGAGGAUGCUUUUGGCGAGGUGCCUUCCAAGUCCCCUGGAACGGGGCGCCACAGAGGGUGAGAGCCCCGUCAGGUUGCGCAACCGAGCCUCUGUAAAGCUCCUUCGAC
rnacentral:rRNA from 1 species